CCCGUGGCAGCUCCCAUCUGGACUACAGCAGUGCCUGUCGAGGCAGGUUGUGAUCCAAGCCCCUACGCCUUCCAGAAGCCCUUCCUCUCUCUGACGACAGGCCGGUGUCCUCCGUAAGCGGACCGGUUCGGGUGCCCGACACACCUAGAUUCUGGUUUGAGCUGUUAUGGUCGCUGGUUGUGCUGUCUCCAGAAACUUCUCCCACCCCCCUUGGACCCGGGUUGCCUUUUCUGUGAAGUGGGACUGGGAAUCUCUGUUCUGCCUACCUUCUGGGGUUAUUUUGAAGUGGAGAAAAAGACGCUACACAUUCAUGGCAUCAUUUACGAAACGGAUAUUGAUCACUCAGCCGUGUGCCAGCCGCUGGAGAUGAAAGGCCGUCGUUCAACUGUAACGUGUUAUACAAAUACGACGCUCUCCUCCGAUGCGGAAAAUUCACGACCCGCGGGGUCAGACUGGGUGUGUUUGCUCUGCUUCCCUCACCUGUCUUCUCUCCCGGUAAGAGUGACCGCUAGCUACCCGAGUACUGCCCGCUCACAAACAUUCAGGGCAAAGCUAGCUCUAGUAAGAGAACUUCAUAAAUGGAAAACAUCAGCUGGCAUUAGAAAGAUCUAUGGUGACGAAACCUCUGUGUGUUUGGAAGCCUCACUAAUCUUGCACCAGAAGGCCGUCCGUGAGGGGAUGGUCAGUGACAUUUUUCCUAUUUGCUGCAACAUUGACAAGCAGGGCCCCAGACCGAGGACAAAGAGGAGAGCAUCACAAAUUGGCCAACGUUGGACAACAGAGUAACAGGAGCAAAGCAUCACUCCAGGUGGGCAGGCAGGAAACAGCUGGCUGGGAAAGGAGCCCAUGACCCAUUGCCCCAGUCCACCCUUGGCCUGGAAGAAGUCAGACCGGAAGUGGCCAGGGAACUUGCAAGACCUGCAAAGAGCCGGUGUUAAAGAGUCAGGUACCUUUUUGGAAGGACCGAGUUAUGAAAAGAGACCAGAGGAAUGUUAAAAUCCCUUUUAACGCGACGUUCUACGCCACGGCUAAUAUGACAGCAGCGGUGACCCAACCAUGGAAAACUAUCACCAAGUUCAAAACCAAUUUAAUAAUAAGAGAGAUUGCAAUUUUCUGACCGCUAGAGGGCAGGCCUGGCCACACCUUGAGGAAGAUCCAUUCUCCAGUGUAGUUGUGUCAAAGGAGUUACACCGGAGUUCAUUUAAACUGUUGCAAAGAGUGUGAAAAGGAAAAAUUGGGACGCGCACGGAGCUUGCAUCACCUGGCCGGCAGGACCUGCUCAUCUGUAAGGUGGAAUCCACGGUUCUUUCUCCUGCCCUAGUCAUGAGCUCACUUCUGUCAGAACCCCCAGUCGUCUAUGUUUGCGAAUGAUUAAACCACAGCCCGAUGUUCAGUUGACUGUGCUGCCUUCCAGUUAGCGUACAGAAAGGUGAAAUGGCUUGUCCAGAGCGACGGCCACCCGGCUUCUGAACGGUGAAGACCUGGCGUGGGGGCCCUGGCCUCCAGGCCUCCAGGCCUCCUGGGCCUCCUGCAGGCCUCUCCCACAGGGCAAGCACUUGCUGCUGCUACUUUGUUUUCAGCACCCCGACCACGGGUGAACCAAGACCAGAAGGUAAUCGAGCACAGUCCUCCUCGGCACUAGCGAUCGGUAGCCCUGUGGCAUUCUGAAGCAUUUGGGACUGAGUCUUCUGUGGCCCAGGGACAAGUCUCUCUACAACAAAGAUGAUAGACACCUGCCCUUGCUGACAGCAGUGUUCCAUUUGUUUCUUCGAACGAGUCUUGCUGCUGAGGGUACCAUCUGCCGGCCUGAACUUCCAGCCUGUUGCUCACCGAUUUCCUCCUUACGUCGCUCACGGUAAGUCACCGGAGAAUUCGAGCCCUGUUGUUCCUCCUUGAGCUGUACCCUUGGCCUCAGCACUUUGAUGAAGCGUUUUAAUCCUACAUGCGAGACCCGCUCGUUGUACUCAGGGAAGCCCUGUCCGUGAAAUAAUCCAAACCCUGUCAAAGGCUUCAGAUUGGGAUAUAAAGUGCUCUGGCAGUAACGCAACCUGGGAGCAUCUUUCAAAGGACUG